AGUUGCCAUUGUUCCACGGACCUUCGUUCUCAAGCCAGGAACGGCCUUGUUUUUAGCAGCCUUGGGAUGUAUAGACUACUUACAGCCACCAACGCACUUGUAGCAAAUGUGGGUAGAGCCCUCCCCAAAUCUUGGCGAAGCCCAGCCAUGAUGGUUAUUUAUUUCAGGGAGAAAAGUCUGCCUGGUUUUCUGUCGUGGCUUCUAACCUGUUGCCAGUCCACAUCACUACCCUGAGUAACGCAGAUGCCAUCUACGAGAAGCACGCUGGCCGAGAGUUACUAAAGGUUCCCAUGGGUGGGGAAGAGCGAAUGAAAGAGUUCCCCCCACUUGUCCCUCA